rnacentral:misc_RNA from 1 species
UUGAUUUAUUUGUUUUGCCUUGCGGCGUAUUCAGAAGAUGCUGAUAAUACAAGAGUUUAAGGGUCCCCGGCGGCCGCUGGUCCAGUCCGCGUCCGGCUGGGGCGAGUCCGCCGAAGCAACAAUAGGUAGGUUCACAUAAGGGUUGGGGAGUUGAAAACUCGGUAAUGAUCCCUCCGCUGGUUCACCAACGGAGA